UACGUAGGGGGCAAGCGUUGUCCGGAAUUACUGGGCGUAAAGAGUGUGUAGGCGGUGUUCCCAGUCUGUUGUGAAAUCUCCCGGCUUAACUGGGAGGGUGCAGCGGAAACUAGAAUGCUAGAGGGUGGGAGAGGUAAGCGGAAUUCCUGGUGUAGCGGUGAAAUGCGUAGAUAUCAGGAGGAACACCUGUGGUGUAGACAGCUUACUGGACCACUUCUGACGCUGAGACACGAAAGCGUGGGUAGCAAACAGG
rnacentral:rRNA from 1 species